GUGUUCACUUCAGCAGCACAUAUACUAAAAUUGAAGUGAUACAGAGAAGAUUAUCAUGGCCCCUGCGCAAGGAUGACACACAUUUGCCAAGCAUUCCUUAUUUUU